UGAGGAAUAUUGGUCAAUGGUCGGGAGACUGAACCAGCCAAGCCGCGUGAGGGAUGAAGGUACAGAGUAUCGUAAACCUCCUUUGUCAGGGAACAAAAGGCGCCACGCGUGGCGCUCCGAGUGUACCUGAAGAAAAGCAUCGGCUAACUCCGUGCCAGCAGCCGCGGUAAUACGGAGGAUGCGAGCGUUAUCCGGAUUUAUUGGGUUUAAAGGGUGCGUAGGCGGCGAGUUAAGUCAGCGGUAAAAGCCCGGGGCUCAACCCCGGCCCGCCGUUGAAACUGGCUUGCUUGAGUUGGAGAGAAGUAGGCGGAAUGCGCGGUGUAGCGGUGAAAUGCUUAGAUAUCGCGCAGAACUCCGAUUGCGAAGGCAGCCUACCGGCUCCAGACUGACGCUGAGGCACGAAAGCGUGGGUAUCGAACAGGAUUAGAUACC
rnacentral:rRNA from 1 species